rnacentral:rRNA from 1 species
CCUACGGGUGGCUGCAGUGGGGAAUAUUGGGCAAUGGGCGAAAGCCUGACCCAGCAACGCCGCGUGAAGGAAGAAGGCUUUCGGGUUGUAAACUUCUUUUGACAGGGAAGAGCAGAAGACGGUACCUGUCGAAUAAGCCACGGCUAACUACGUGCCAGCAGCCGCGGUAAUACGUAGGUGGCAAGCGUUGUCCGGAUUUACUGGGUGUAAAGGGCGUGUAGGCGGCUUUGCAAGUCAGAAGUGAAAUCCAUGGGCUUAACCCAUGAACUGCUUUUGAAACUGCAGAGCUUGAGUGGAGUAGAGGUAGGCGGAAGUGCCGGUGUAGCGGUGAAAUGCGUAGAGAUCGGGAGGAACACCAGUGGCGAAGGCGGCCUACUGGGCUCUAACUGACGCUGAGGCACGAAAGCGUGGGUAGCAAACAGGAUUAGAUACCCCGGUAGUC